AUUGUGGUUACAAAUCAUAGUCAUCGUACGGUCAAUACUGAGAUUUAACUUUCUUCAGCUUUGAAUCAUGGCCGCGCGUAUAAGAUGAAUGCUUUGAAUUUCUUGGUUUUGGGAAAAGCACUCCCCCGUCUUAACUCUCCCAACGUCCCUCUUAAUUCUCCGGUCAAAUCCCCAAUCCCCCAACCCCCCAUCUUGGAAGAUGAGUAUUCAUAAAAGGGGAAGAAAACGUUCUUCAGCCCUUCCGCUCUCUUCUUCAACCUCCGCUCACCCGGAUUCAAAAAAGAGGAAGUGCAAAUUGCAACCUAUUUCAUCUUCCCAUUCGUGGUCUUCGUGUUCUCCCGCAAUGAAUCAGGUUUUCGAACAACCGGGAUGGAAUUCCAAUCUGGACAAGCAACUUCUUGAUUUGACAGUUGAUGCCCAUAAAGUAGAAGGAUACUUCUUGAGCUGGUUUGAUUAUAAUCCGAAGCCACCAUUGAAGUACAUUAAAGGAUGGGAAUUACUUGCACGUCAAUUCAACCAACGAAUGGAUCCCCAUUGUCAGUUUUUGGAUAAGUGGAAACUUGCUACAGAAUUGAGCUGCAGACUUGAAUUUUUUUAAAAAAAAGUUGAGAAGGAUAAAAUCAACCUGGCGGGAUAUGAAUUUGAGGAACAAUUGACGACUUUGUUUAAGGGGAGGAAUAAGCUGUCUAUACCUGCUGGUAUGACUGAGAGUGUGAAUGAUAUCCAAGGUUCUAGUGGGCAGUAUCCAGGAAUCUUCUCUAGUUCUAGUGGGUGGUAUCCCAGAGCGACCCUUACUACUCCUUCUAGUGCUGCCACGACAUCACGUUGCAGUCCGACCUUUGGUAUUGUUAAUCCCUAUGAAGAUUGUGUCUAUUGUUUGUCAAAAUUGGGAUUAAACGAUGAAUCCAUCACUCUCAUUCUUGAUUAUAGUAUUAAGGGAGAGUUGCAAGGCUUGAAGAAUGCUGAAGCCAAGUAUGUAUAUGCCUUAGAAUUGAAAGGUACUGUUUCUUAUUAUUCUAAAUAUGAUGACAAUGUGGAUCAAGAUGAAGGGCGGAAUGUGAGGCCUCGGAAACAUCGUGGCGCAGCGACUCCUCCAUCAGUUAUUUUACAUGGCCCAAGAGCAAACCAGGGGGUAAACAGAUAUAGGUAAGUUUAAUUUCCUAGUUUUGUGUGUUGCGUUGUGAUGUUUUGAUUUGCACAAGAGGAAAUAUAAUGAUAAUAUAUAAUGAUAGAAUAAUGAUCACGGAGUAUGAUAAUUAGUCUAUUACUACAAUUUAUAAGUAGUAUAGGGAAAGCAUGAUGACAAUAGCUAUUUUGAAUUAGAGCUCUCUCUUCUGCACUCAAUCGGCAACUCAAAUUAAAAAUGCAAAAAUUACUAUUUACAGAUAAUAGAACAAACCAGAUAUGAUUUACCCUAGUCUGUCUAGCAUUAGAAUGGAAAAAGAAAAAAAUAAUAAUGGAAUUUUUUGGGAUGCCAAAUGUGUGGAAUUUUUUUUAUUUUUCUUGAGAAUGAUAAUAACAUUGAAUGUCAGGCAAAAUAUCUCAAUGUUUAGAUUGAGAAAUCGCACAAACCUCCAUCAGACUUAAGCAAUCAGUGACCUUCACUUUUUUGUGCUUCAGACAGAUUGCACGGCUCAUGCCUGAUAGUUCCCAUAAUGAAUUAGAUGCACCUCCAAGCACGUUCCCGACAAUUACUGGCUCCCCUUUUCUCCAGUGCCAUUGAAAAUGUAGUAAAUCCUCAGGAUGUACAUUUUUAGCCUUUGGGCAAUAUAUAUCGUUGUCGCUUGACUCUUCACGAGAUGCUGCCUUACGAUUCAAACAUGAAUGCAAGUUCUUAUGAGUUUUGUCUGCAAUCAUGUAAUGCUUGUAUUUGUCUACAAUUUUUUCUGCUUCAUCUACCAAAUCAGCAAUGUGACUUGGAGGAUAGAAGCUUUUCAGUUCAAGAAACCCAUCACAGCAAACUCUGUCAUCACUAUCCUCAUGCCUAUCAGAUCUUGGGUGUUUGUGAACCCCAGGCUUGGCAGUAACACAUGACUCAAUUGGAUCAGCACCAUCUCGAAGCUGUGCAUCACAAAAGUCAUGACAACAGGCGAUACAAAAGUCACAUUCGCAUGUCUGACAGUGUUUGUGGAGGGCAAAUAUUGACGUCUUGCAGUUGUCACUACAAAAGAAGGGUUAAAUAAACAACUAUAAAACAUGAGGAUAACUACAAGACAACAAUAGAUUAAAUAAUUCCCAACCAGUACAACCGCUCUCCAUCCAAGUCAUCUAGCUUUGAUAUACUUAGCUCCGAGAGUGAGAGCCCUGUAACGUACAUCCCAAAAUCAGGUUAAAAACUGAAUAUAUAUGGGAUGAAAUUAAUAAUGCUUAGAAAUUAGCAUUAACUAGGGCAUAAGAUUAGAGACAAACUAGAGCUAUAAUCCAACAACAAAACAUUACAAUAAAAAUAGUAAAAAGCAGGAUAUCAAAUAGGUAAGUAAUCCAAAGGCACACAGUCAUAGGGUUCAAAAGUCAAAGUUUAUCAAAGCUUAUAAAACAGACAAUUCUACUGGUAGGUGGUUAUAACCCGAUCAAAUUUAGCUCAAUAUCAGCAUCAUUUUCGGUUGCCUUCACCCGACAACCUAAGCUUUGGGGAUAGGUGGUUAUAGACAUGGUAUCAGAGCCUCUUUGACUAAGUGGUCUAGAGUUUGAUACUGGUCACCCCCAUACUUCUAAUAAAAUUUGAUUGAAUUUCAGCACAAGGUAGGUGGCCUGUGCAGAAGCCACUACAUUUAUUCACGAAACAACAUAGAUCCAUACAUGAAAAUAUACCUUGGUUGCUAGCCUUUAUCUCAAUUUCAGUCAUUUCUUUCUGACUCAAUUGUUUUAAAUAUGGAAGAAGUUCUUUAAGCAGAUAUAGGGAGAGCUCAUCGUCAACCUUCAUUGGUUUUUGCAUCUUCAUUGUUAUCUCCUGCAUCUUCAAUACAACCACUCAUGGUGACAUAAUAGUAAUGAAACGCAUCGUUUUAAAGAUAAAAAAAGAAAGAAAAGGGUGAUUAAAUAUUAAAUAUUAUGAUAAUAAAAAAAAGGAUUAGCGAGGUAAAGGAAAAAAUUAUACCCUCCUCAUGAGCAACUUCACUUUCUUUUGAACUCCAUACACUUUUUCUUUUCCUUCCACAAUGCUUCUCUUGAUUGUCCACGACUGCCAUAUAAUGGAUGUAAGCACAAUGUAGUAUAAACUGAAGUAAAUUGCAGUUUCUCACGAGUUCCUUUAAAACCUUAGGUUACUGGUGUAUAGAAAAGAAUAUUACCAUCAUC